CUUUAUGAAAAUGUACUCCAUUCCUACAUGUGAAAUGCAGCUAUGUUUUCCUGAAGGCAAAGGCUUUUGAUGACAUUUCAGAGCUACCAUUAAGAGUUCAAGGGUAACAGUCAUCCAUGUAAUGAGUUUCAUCAGCUGAAGUAUCACCGCCCAUGCAGCUACCCUUCUGUAUGGCAGCCAAGCAUAUGCUUCAAGUUAUUUCAGAAUUGGUAUCUAGCUAUUUAUUAUGACAUUAAGGCAAUAUGAAAGUAUUUCUUAUCACUUUAGUUUUGUGUAUAAUGUGGUUUGGAUUUUAUGAGAACCGUAUUCUUCCAGUAUUGUUCCCAGUUUGCUGUUUUCCUUUUAGUUUGUGUAGGGUAUUCUUAAAAUCAGGAGCUGUGAGCUGAAUACUUAUUAUUGUUUAAAGCAAAGUUUUCCUUUUUUUGUCCUUGCAUUUAAUGCUGAAAAUGUCUUCAUUAUGGCAGCAAACUAGUUAAAUAUUUCAUAUUUUGGUAAGACUCAUUUGCCUUGGAAGUCUCUUUCAAUUGCUGUGUUUUGAGAAUCUACCACUGAUUGGAGGAGAAAGGGACAGAGAAAAAAUUACAAAUUCCCGAUUUGUGUACUACUAGAAGCAUAAGUGACAACCCAGGAUUGACUAUGGGAUAUUCUGCAUCUUUACGUUGACCGUGUGCAACAGUCCUGUGGCCAUGCAGACUUCACAGUUGUCAUUUAUACCAUAGUUUGUGGCCACACAGAUAUUGUGGUUAUAAAUGGAGACAGAUCGUGUGCAAGACACUCCACUCCAGUGACACGCAGCCUUUUAGUGGUAGAGCUUAAGGACAAUUUGUAGCUGCCAUAGCAGUAUUAGUUUGUAUCAUCUGCAUGCAAGGCAGCAUAUCCUAUGUCCUUGAGCACUUCACCCAGUUAAGAAUGGUUCUAUUCACACGUGCUCGUUGUUGAAGACUAGGUUCAGAUCACUGCCACCCAGCAUCCACAUUUGCAAUGACUUAAAAACAUAUUCUUGACUCCAAAAAUUAAUUCAGAGAUCUAAGUGAGACAUCUGGGCUUUGUGCAAGAUUGGGAACAGAGCCAAGUAGGUGUCUCUGGAGGACAGUUCAAUGCUCAGUGAGUGGAGAGCUGCCAACAUUAGUCAUUAGGGAACAUCACUCCAGGAGCAGGUCAGAGCUGCUGUCUCAGUGCAUCUGAUUUGUGGUUGUGCAUAAAGUGUCUCGAUCCACUUGGAGUAGUGAUGCCCCGGCAGGGCUGGUACCUGCUUAAGAAGGACUAAAAAACAGGGAUACAGUGCCAGGAGCUGACUUUUGUGAAGUAGGCCAGUGGCUGCCCAGCCCAAGAGGAGGGAGGCCAAGGACCUUCUUAGCCUGACAGAGUCCAGUUUACUGUGCCACUCCGUAAAAGAAGUCCUCACCAUGAAGCUACAGCAAGGCUAUGGAAGAGCCAUUAUCUGCUAUCGUUGUAAAAUCAGACUAGAGAGGGAGCCUGAUCCCAUCAUCCAAGGACAAGCAUCUCCCUUGUGUGCCUGACCUAAAGUAUUAAUUAGUCCUUACCUGUUCCUUCUAAUUAUGUCUUCCAAAAAGCAGACCAGCAAGGAGGGAAGAUCUCAGUGUGAAGAUUCUCACGUGAAAUUCCCACAAUAAUGAGGAGUUCAGCUAUGGUGUCUUGGUAUACACCAGAAUCAUUGCUUGCUCCUUGCAGCAUUACAGACUAUUAGGUCUGCUGCUGAAUGUCCCAUGCAGAUAAGAGUCACUGCUAGCCAUCCAAACACUCCCCAGGAGCAGAGCUGGCCCUCCAGAGCUCUUUGGGCAGCAGGACUGAAUCGUAUGCUUAGACAAUAGAGGAACGCGUUGGGUGGACUGGUUGCUCUUGAGAAGAGCUUGUGAGCAUGCCUCCGCUUAAGCCUGUCCAGGUCUGUCCUAAAUAGUAAAACAAUAUAUACAGAGACACAGAUGGUAAAGUACUGUUCCGUGUUGGUGCUCAGCACACCACAAUACUGUUAAUUAAGCUUUGUUAGUUUGAUGUCCAGUUUUUCUGACAUGGGUUUUGAUCUAAUCUUGCAGAAUUCUAAAACUCUUGUCUUUUUUCUUUUUAUGUGCAAGUACAUUUUAAAAAGAUUUUCAUAAUUUCUUUGUGUCCGGCUUCUCUAAUAAGGUUGGACAGAUUCUCACAGUUUCUGUUGCUAAUAUGAUUCCUGGCAAAUAGAGCAGAAGGUUCAGGAGAACAAAAGAAAUGAUCUAAUUUUAGUAAUGGUGCAGACUGAGUCUGUCAUUUUUCUCUCUCUUUUAUCCUCCUACCCUUUCUGAAUGUCAGAACCUCUCCCAGCACUGCCUCUUUUCAGUUUGUAUUGAAUUCUUGUUCUUCAUCAAGGACUGGGCAUGAUGAGUUUUUAGAUACUCCUCUGAACAGAAGCUGGAGUAUUUGUGAGGCUUAUCAGUGAAAUUUUGACUUGUCACAGGUAAUCUGCUAAGAAUGAAUCACUUCCAGCAAAGCUGUUUUUGCAAAUUAGAAAACCUUAUAUCUGAAAUUUCAUUUAAUAUGUAUGUCAUAUUUCUAGUAUCCAUUUUGAAUCUUAAAUUGAAGUUUGAGUCUAAUACAGUGUAAAGACAAUAAAGGAAUUUAGUUUCUGAAAGACAAAGAGGGUUGCAUUUAGUGUAGUAGGUCUGAUCAGCUUGCAGAGUGGUCAGACCUCUAUCCCGUGAUGUUCUUUAGCCUGUGCAUAAUUGAAAUAUGAGAAUUUCUGUAUAAGCCUUAACAUAAAACAUAUUCUUUCAAAGGCAAUGGAAAUACUAGCAUAUUUUAGAUUAAAUAUAUACUUCCAAACUUCCCUAGGUUUGGAUCUUGGGGGAUUUUCUACUGAAUAACAAUUAUGCUUGUCUUAGUCAACCUUUAUUCUUAUUCUUGUGCUCCUGUUUUGGAUAUGAGAAAUAAACAGGCUGUAUUUGCAAUUUGGAGGAUGGCAAUGACAAACAUCUGAUGUGCAAAAAAGGACAAGAAAGCACAGAGUAAAGAAUAACAUGGCUGAAAGCGAGAAUUGCUUGAGCAGUAAAAAAAUGGAGAGGAUGUCCUUUCUCAGAUGUUAAUUUUUUGAGUGUACAACAAAAACACUGGUAUGGUUAGAAAUAAAUUGUAGUUCAACAUUUAGAGGCAUAAUAUAUUACAAAAUGAAAAAUAAAGCCAGCCUGAUGAUUAACUUUGUUUCUGAACGUGGUUACUUAAAUAACCAUGUCAAACUUGAUUAAAAAUGUGCAAUAAUUUUUCAAAACAAGUCAUUCCUUAUCUCUAGCUUCAGUUUGUUUCAUAUCAUGUCAUCGAUAUAGAAGGAGGCAGACAAGCAUUGCAAUUAAAUCUAUAAAACCUACAACUAUAUCCACAUUAAAAUAACUUCCAGUUAUUGCUGUAACAAACCACACUACUGGCCUAAAAUUACAUUUUAUUACUUUUGUUUUUACAUUUAUUUUACAUUUAAUUACUACCCCUAUUACUUUGGGAUAACACUUGCUGGCAACACUUUAGAACGCCAUUUUCAUUUGCAAAUGCUCCAAAAAUAAUUAGGCAGACCUCCUACCCCGACUUAUGUGAUGGACUUAAAAACUAGGCUGAAGAAUUGAGAUUGGAGAAGUAUUGCUUCUCAGUUUUCUGUCUUCAGGACUUCUAUUUACAUUGCUUUUUCUGAAAUCAUUAUGCCUGAAACCCAGGAACUUGAGGUUAACGAAGCCCUCUGCCAAACAGGCAAGGUUUGCAAUGCAUUCUCCCUUAUCUCAACCAAGCAGCUCAUCCUUUUACCAGGAAAUGGAAGGGAAGGACCGUUCUCUCUCCAUUCCUGUUUUCCAUUCACAAAGAGGUUUGGAUGAUUCCACCCCGAGGCUCAGGUAACUACAGCACUCGUGCUCAGACAAUGUCCCAUACCAGGCUGUGAGGCUGGACACGGCGGGUGGAAUAGUGGUGGGGAAUGGCUGCACAGCGAUCUGGCUGUCCCUCACCACAAAGGCCUCCAUGCCCUUUAUGCCACGCAGAGUUGAGUUAACUGCCCUUUUUGUCCUCUCCCUCUCCUGCCACAGUAAGUACACAGACUGCCAGCCCACCCUCCCCAGUAGUACUCAGUCUUGCUUAUCCCAUACCUCUUUCUGCUCUGGUGCCUGGCCAUUACUCCUACUACACCUACAGUCAUGGAAUAGCACGAUACUUAAGUGAAUGUUCAUUAAAUGCUUCGCAUGCAGGGGCUGGGUGGAAGACUAGAAAUGGGCAGGAGGAUCUGGGGAUUGCUGACAGUUUUCCCGCAGAGUACAAAAAAGGUCAGCUCUCCCAGGCCUCUCUGUUGGGUGCUCUGUAACAUCUUCAUAGUUCUUUCCUUUAUCUGGCAUGUGUUUGUCACAGCAUGACUUUCUGUCUGGGCUAAGUCAUUCGUGCCCCUUUCGGUACAGCAGAGCCUGAGGCACAGGCUCAACCACCAUUCCAGCCAGCCCCUCCCAUCGCUAUCACAUACAGCUUUUAUCAGGGUGCUAAUACUGUGGCUAACGAUUUCUGUGUUCUUGAGGCACAUUAAGAAAUCUGGCAUAUAGCCCGCGGCUAGAGCUCAGAUUCUGCAACAAUAAUGUUUACAUUGGCAGGCCUUUGAACAGAAACUCACAUUCACUCCAGCUGGCUGGUGUGAUUCUAGCAAUUAAUUCAGCUUUUCCAGUGGCAAGAGUUUGUUGAUACAGCUUGUUGCUCUUCCUGUCGCAAAACACAUCAAUAACAUGGAAAAAAACUGCCUAGGCAAGUCACAGAGUCACAGAAGCGCCGAGGUUGGAAGGGACCGCUGGAGGCUGUCUAGUCCAAGCCCUGCUCAGAGCAGGGCCAACCAAGAGCUGGUUGCUCAGGGCUGUGUCCUGUCAGACUUUUAGUAUCUCCAAGGUCAGAGACUGUACAACCUCUCUGGGCAACCUGUUCCAGUGUUUGACCUCCCUCCCAGUAAAAAGUUAUGUUUAAAUGGAAUUUCUUGUAUUUCAAUGCAUGUCCAUUGCCUCUUGUCUUCUCACCAAGAAGAGUCUGGCUCUGUCUUCUUACCUCUUCACAUCAGGUGUUUAUAUACAUAGAUAAGAUUAUUCUGAGCUUCUCCAGACUAAACAGACCCAGCUCCUUCAAUCUCUCCUCAUAUGACACGUUCUCCAGUCCCUUAACCAUCACUGUGGCCCUUUGUUCGACUCAUUCCAGGAUGUCUCUGUCUCUUUUGUACUACUGAGCCCAGGACUGGACCCAGCACUGCAGAUGUGACCUCACUGGUGCUGAAGAGAGGAGAAGGAUCACUUCCCUUGGCCUGCUGGAGAUGCUUUUCCUAAUGCAGCCCUGGAGGCUGUUGGCCUUCUUUGCUGCAAGGUCACCUUGCUGGCUUAUGGUCAGAUUGUUGUCCACCAGGAUGCCCAAGGCCUUUCUUGCAAGUCUGCUUUCCAACUGGCUGACCUCAGCCUGUACUGGUACUUAGGGCUGUUCAUCUCUGGGUGCAGGACUUCGCAAUUCUCUUGGUUGAACUUGAUGAGAUUGCUGUUUGUUCUAAGUCUUUAUAAAGAACCACAUGGGAUAGAGCUGGAGGGAUGGAGAUUCAAGUAUCUGAAGUUCCCACAAAAUCCACACAUUGUUAGUUGUCUAAUUUUUUAACUCAUGGCCCUCACAUUUAUAAGACCAUGUCUGAGCUCUGGAGGCUGUCAGAAAUCUGAAACAAAGACAAAAGCAAUGCAUACAAUGAUUAGCUUUUUAAGUCUACACAGAAAAGAAGCGCUGCAGUUAUUUAAUUCUCUGGGUUGUAAUUUGAGUCCUAAAAUCAUGUAUUUAUAGCUUUUCUGUUUUAAUGACAGUAACUCUGCCCAAAAAUACACGUGUGUAAAUGUAAUCGUCUUGGUUAUGAAUGAACAACUUAUUUUCUGUAUAUUUAUAUAACUGAAAUUCAUGGUUUCCUCUGUGUACUAUGUUUUUUCUGUAAGGUUGUUCUUUCCAACAACAAGGCCACACCACCUCUGCCCUCAGCUCACCUAUAGUGAGGAAGUAGAGUGUCCAUGUUGUUUCCCAAGUACACAAAGUACAGCAAAAUGCUGGCUGUGAAAUGUCACCAACUGGAAUCACCACCAGAUUACCAAAUGUCCUGAAUAUGUCCAAUUUUUUGUUUACCUUUAUGAUGUUGCCUGUUAUUUUGGGCAUAGAAAGGACCUAGAGCCUCAUGGAGCAGUCUGACAGAGCUCCAGGUUUCUUCCUUUGCUUUUGCUGUUCCCACUAGAUGGUCACUGAUUCACAACAUGGAUUUACACCCAACUGUGAAGAUUUGUUACUUUGGGCCCUACCUUGAAUCCAGACUUUCUGGUCUACAAUGGAUGGCUCAGACAGUGCAUUAAGGCAUUCAGAGCAUAAUCUUGGUUUCUGGGGAGCCAAUAAUGCAUAUGCCUUUGUGUUGGAGGCAGCCUGUAUUUUCAACCCAUUUGGAGGUCAGGAGUACCCAGGCCUGUUUUUUCAUCCCCACUGAGAAAUUUAAGCACAUUCAAAACCUUCUAGCUACCUUUCUUUACCCCAAACUCACUGAGUAAUUUUAAACAGAUAAACAUAGUUCACUUGUUUUUUAAAUUUACUUCUUUGGUUUGAAAUGUCUUUGGUUUCCUUCAGCUUUUAUGAUGCAAAUUUAUCAAUAGCACUAAAACUUAGAUUUUUCAAGAAGGCGUGCAGCCAAAAUAACAACAUUAUAAAGUGGAUGCCGCAAAGAAAGGAAGUAGAAAUAUUGCUAAAAUUAUUUUUUUAUAUUUACAAUUAAUCUGCUCACUCCUAACUUCACUGUUGGAACAGGUCAGGGUGUAGGGUCUUUUUGGCAUGGUAGUAUGAAUCUCUUUGGGUUCCCAGAAAUCUGGGCUGCAGGUAUUAACCCCUCAGCUCCAUUCCUUGCAUGGCCAGACAUAGCACCGUGCCUUGCCUGGGGCUGCCUUGCUGCCUGCACGCCCUGCAAGUACGGUGCCCCAUACCUCCCUGCUUGGACGCUUCUAUUCAGAGGGUGAAGAAUGGCCUGGUGUUUAAAUUACUGGAUUGAGAUGCCUCCAGACUAAAAAAGUGGAAAAUUGUUUUUAAAUGUGGUUUCAUCUGACCUCCAGUAAAUCUGCUAACUUCAGCUUUCCCCCUACAAAUCAGGUACUGUUAGUUGGAGAGGAAUUAUAGAGGAAUGAAGGCAGGUUAAUUAACAUUGAUAAAAUACAGCUGUGGGCUGGCUUCAAGGGUGGUGGGUUGGCUGAUUUGGAUAAUAGCAGCUGUGGCUUAUUAUUGCUAAGUAGUUAAAUAGCACUGAAGAGAAAGAACUCUGAGUAAAGGAGGCAGAGAGCCCAAGAGAGCCCUGGAGGUGGGAGAGAAGGGGUGGCUGGAGGAGAAACAGCAUGGACAGUAGAUUCUGACAAAUGGUAAAGCCUUGUUGCAGCCUGAUAGCUUGCUUGUGCUGGGACAGUUAGGCUAAGUUUGUUGGAUACCAGGUGGUAGGAAGGAAAACAUAAUUAUUUAAAAAAAAAAUCCAAAUCCUGCUUCAUAGACAGAGCUCAUCUUGUGUAAGUAGGUCAGAGUUGUUACAGAAAAUGUAGUGGCAGUCAUACUAAUGAUAGGCUCUGGUAUGUUUAAUAGGUCCUGUUAACAUGUAAGACUUUUUUUCCCUGUUUCAAAAUUUACAUUUUGAAGUCAGAUGACUCAUGACAAUAUGUUUUUUCCUUCAGUGUGUAACACACUGACCUGGUGCCUUGGCAGCAGCACUGGGAAGCCACGGCGGUGAAUCCAGGUCCCCAGGUCUCUCAAGGAAGCACCCAUGAAAGGGUCCCUGGGAUUAAGAAGGAAGUAGAGGUUUUAAUGAAGCAGAUUCUAUUCUUCAGAGGGGUGAAGGAAGCUGUCUUGUGGUGCCCUCUCGAGGUAGGAGAGCUGCCCGGUUCAUUUGCUAUUUUAUGGCAGCAGGAACACAAACUGGAAACAGACCCUGGUGAAGAAGCUGCUGUUUGCUUUGAAAACAAAUCAAAUUUACUAUGGCUUUUCUUGGUGUGCAUUUUUAAAUGGCAAUCCAAAAUCUCUUUGUCUCCAGCUUUUCCAUGAGAUCAAGUACUCCAAAGGACACAAAGCACAGGGGAUCCUUCUUUGCAGUGCUCUGAAGCCACAGAGGCACGUUUGCCCAAAGUGUGAACCAAGGGAUCAUUGCUCUGUUUACAUGAAGGAAUGGAAAAUGUUUCCCACAACAUGCUCUUGUGUCCUUGAAGCUGAGCACAAAAUGCAUCAGGAAAUGCUGAUGUUUGGAUGCUGAAGUGGAUUAGGAAACCUUGCUGUAUCAGGAAGGCUAACCUUUGUGCUCAGGUCAGAUAGAGGGUCUUGUGCUUGUGGGGAGGGUCUGUGAGUGCGGUGCCUGUGCCUCCUGCUUGGAAGAAGCCAAAUGCCUUGGAUGUGAUCACCACCUCACUGUGGAAGACUGCAGACUGUAGGUUUCCCUUUAAAAGGGACUUUAGAUGUUUAGUCUUGAAAUACCUCUUGCCAGGUGACAGCAGAUUGUCAUUCAAAAAAUGCCUCAUUUAAAAUCCAACAAGGAGCAAGGAUUGGUAAUAUGGUGGGUCCUCAAGAGUCAGUGAGUUAAUCACUUCUGUUUAGGACUGGGGUAGGGUUGAUGCUGACUAUUUGGGGUGAGGACAUCCUGCUCAAGAGAUGAGCGUGCUAUGGGUGUGUGCUGGUUUAUUUGCAGUUUCCCUUACUGCUGCGUAGGAUAUAUUUAACUGCAGCCUCCAUGGUCACCUUCUCACAAGAUCCUGCUGAGUCAUCCAGGCUGUUUCUAUCUGAUCCCAUUCAAUGCUGGUAUGGGGUUUUCAGAAGAAUAGACACAGAAGGAAACUUCUGGUUUUAUUUUGUUGAAGCCUGAGUCCUUUCAGACCCGGUGCCCCGACAGCAAGGGUCACCGAGAAGUCUGUUGCAUCCAUUUGACCAAAACCUCUGUUUCUUUUACAAUAUACUCCUCAAACUAAGUGAGCACAGAGUGCUUGAUCUGGACUUGUUCUGAAGGCAAGCGGAGGCUGUGGCACCCUGCAGAGGUAUUGCACCCAGAGCCUGUGCGCCCAUGAGGCUCACCAACACAGUAGGCUGAUGAAUGCAACUCUACUUGGUUGUCUUAGCAAGUGGUAUGACACCUUUUCUCCUCCUGAUAGCUGAUAGCACGGCAGCUGUGAUUUUCUGAGGCAUCUGAACCAGGAGGCACCUGGGGAGCAAGAUUUUUUCAGUGAAGGGUUUUUUUGCUCUGACUUUCCUCUGCUGCUAUUAUAGAUGGCAGACUUUGUGAACUACAGCCCCUCCUCCACCCUGUCUUUUAUGGGCAGCUCAGUUUUGGAUUUCAGAAGGCUCUUCAUGUGUUGAUUUUGUGCAUGUAAUGGGUAAAUUUUUUUUUAAAAAAUAACAUCUCUGCUUCUCAUAGAUAACUUUUGAUGGGGGCAGUUGGAAAGUAAAUGUAAACAAAUGCAGAACAACAUGCUGAAUCUGAAGGCAUAAAUCCCUUCCACAGAGCUGCAAAUUGAAGACUCAAAGCUCCUGUUGUGUUGAAAAGAGGGACUCUUGGGCCCAACAAGGGCUCCUUGGGGCAGGAACCAUACGCAGCACAUUCAGAUCCAUGACCGGACAAAAUCGCUAUGAUAAUUGAGUAAUAACAACAAAAAGUCAUGGAAAGUAAGACAACAUUCAAUCAGUAUUUCAACUUUCUAUUUCUUCAGUGAAGAAAGUCAGCUUUUGUCUACAGUCCCGCCUUUCAUUUGAGACUGUGCUGUUAGGGAAUCUGAGUCUGCUCAAUACAUGGUCGUGGAUGAGACUGCUCUCUGGAUGAGCAUGAAGUUGUAGGAGGUGUUGGUUUAGGUGCAUCUCCGUGAGAAGCAGAUACUUGUGAUGACAAGUACUAUAUCUUGAUAACUAGGGAAGAAAUGAAGGAGAAAGGAGGCAGGUAUAUCUGGGUACUUUCUGGUCCGGUCAAGGUGUCGAGAGCAUUGGGGCCACAGAGGUCCAGUAGUGUCAUGUUUAAAAGCAGGCUGGUGGAAUAUGCUGGGGUGAUAAUCACAUUUCUUCCAGCCCUCAUACCCUCCUCUGCUCCCCUUUGUGCCACCCACUCAUCUAAGGAAAGGUGGCAUCUUUAUUCUGGUAGAAUUAACUAAUCAAAAUAUGCUGUUGGUGACUUCAAUUAUGAAUGUUUCCUCCCAUUCUUAAAAUGUUUCCACUUGUUUUCUUGGCAGGACCUUGAGGAUCUCUCCCGAGAGGUCCUUUCACAGAUACGCACAGAAUGAAUAGUUUAUCUCCAGCUCCCGCUGACUUUCAUUAAUAAUUUGAUGUAAAAACCUAAGUUGGACUUCUGCUGUGUUGGAUAACUUGGGAGUACCAGCUUCUAAUAUUCCAGCCACAGAACAAAACACUUUUUAGUUUUAGAGGUCCAAGUGGCCUUUCUGGCUUCCACUCACCCACAACCUUUCUUGGAAAUUUCCAGUACCUUACCAUUCCCUGCUUUAACUACCUGGCUGCUUCAGGCAUCCCAAAAAAUGAGAGAGGCUCUAUGGCUUCCAGCUGGCAGACCUUCUCUUGUGAAUGACAGCUGUUUCCUUAAACAAGAAGAUUUGGUGGGACAUAAGACCAUGUUUUUUACUGUUUCUUGUUUAAUUGCCCAGGUCUAUGUCAGAAAAUACGGUGGUCACUCCUGAAGGUGAGCAGCUUGUUUUACAGGGUGCAUUCAUCUGCCCAGUCUCACUGAAGACAAAUGGAAUUGCCUAUCUGAGUAAUGUCACACAUGUCCCUAAAUGAUUGCAAGAGACUGAAAGGAAUUGGAAGUAGAAAUAAUAGCACUACUUCAUCUCUCACAGAGCAGCGCCAACAAAAUAAUGAAGCCAUGUGAAUAAAGAACCAACCUAACAAUCAAGCUCUAACCAUUUUUUGAAAAUUAGCACUUCUUCCAAAACAGUAAUGGCUGCUGGGAAAAUGGUACAAAAUAUUAACUGUCAGGUUAAGCACACCUUAAUCAACAUGUGCCAAGUCCCACUGAUGUGUCCUCAAACCUGUUACUUAAGUACUUGUUAAGGCCAAUUAAAUAAACAAAAUUUUAAAGCCUAAUAGCAUAAACCACAUAAAUAACAUAAGAGCCAUAAUGGUUGAAUGGGUGGGUGUUUGGCCCUUCUUGAUUUAAGACAGUGAAGUGAAAAAUGUUGGAGCCCUUGAAGGUGAUUUUGAAGACGAGGAAGUGACUGUGCUACACAAACAGCAAUCAGAGACAAUUAAGAGAACUGGGACAAGUGCCUCAUUCUCUCUGCAGACUGCAUGGGAAAUUGCGCUUUACAUUUCAGUCAUGUUGCAUUUCAAAUAAGGCCCCCAGCUAUGUCAUUUUUCAAGUCCAACUCAAAUCAAAAGAUAUUGCUUAAAAUCUUUCUAUUACUCCAGAGUGAAAGGAAUGAUUGUCUAUGCUGAUGAGCCUGGAAGAUUGUCUUGAAAAGAAUUUGACAGUUUUGUUUUGCAGUCCCAUUAUAAUGUUAUUACUGCCCCUGAAGAAGACUGACAGAGCCUGAACAACAGCUUAAGUAUGAGGCUAGUUUAGGAUGGCACUCUGCUGCAGAUUUCAUGUUGUUUCUCUGCACAGUAGAGAAACUGUGCACUAUACUAUGCAUAUGUUUUCAUUUAAAGCUUAAUCUGAUGAAGAAUCUCAGAGAGCCUCUAUAGUAAUAAAAGAACAGAAAAUACAAGCAAGCUAAAAAAAUCCCAAACCCCAUCAAAAUGGAAAGAAUCAAAACAGGAAAAUUUGGAAAUAAUUAUCCAUGUCUAAUUAUAACCCUAUCCCUAUACAGAAUGCACAGCCCCUGGGUGAUACUUCUUUCAAGAACUUUCUGGUAAGUAUGGAAAUGUUUCAGUAUGCGAUUCAGAAAUUUCCUGACAUGCUGAAGGGGUCUCAGUUUUGUGGCCACCUUCGCAAAGACAGGAAUACAAUGAGCUUUCAGAGCUCUUGUAGCUGUUUUGGUUUGGCAUAAUAUGCCUAGAAACAAGCACCUUAGUUUUUAAAUUUGCUUGAAUACUGAUUUAAGUAACUAAAUUUCCCCUGGUGCAAAUGCUUAUCUACAUGUCAUUUGUGUAAUACAGUAACUUUUGCUGGUGUUCAUCCUCUUGGUUAUAGAUAAAAAGUAAUGGGGAAGUUAAGAUGAAGAAAACAAAUUAAGUCCCUUACUGGAAUAUCAGUGCUUUUUUAUGCAUAAGCAAGACAGUUUACUUCAAAAAAAAAAAAAAAAAAAAAAAAAAAUCCCAAGCACAAACCAGAGGGGUGGGAUGAGGUGUUGAGAGCAGGGACAAGUGCUAGAGGUGCUGCCAGGUUGUGCCAUGCUCAGCUGGAUGCCUGUGGCUGUGUUUCCUCUGAACCCUGAGGAAGCCCAGCGCCACUCGCUGCCCAGCCUUCACCUCCGGCUGCCUGCCAGGGAGAGAGCGGCGGCUCAGCAUCGGAGUGCUGAGCGACACGGAGACCGGGGGCUUCAGCUGCCUGCCCGCGAGGUGCCCAGCGACCCUUCCCUCAGCCAGCCCUGACUGCUCUGCUCACUGCUCUGAAAACCGGGAAGAUGGAGGGGCUGUGCUGCAUACAUAGAAGUGAUGCAAGAUGCAAGCUUUGCCUGGCAGCAGUUUUCCCAAGGAAGUAUCAAUUUCAUCUUCCUGUCGUCUUUGCAUAAGGCACUGUUUUUUCUUUUAAAGAGGCUUGUUUGGUGGUUUUUUAAUGAAAAAGGCUCUAAAUGUAAAUGUUCAAUUAUAAUGCUAAUUAAUAGAAAGUUAGUAUAAGAUCUCUGCCCAGAUAUAAUCAGUUCUGCAUAAACCGGGUCAUUUGAGAAAACAAGAGUCUAAAUCAAUUAUCUCUAGAUUAAAGAUUUAAACUUUUAUGUUUUGCUAUAUAACAAUUGACAGAUAAAUUACAGUUACAAUAACGACCUUGUACUUGCUGUCUUCAACCCAGUACACAAGCUACCCAGAUCUCUGGGGAAAAAAAAAAGGCAAUGCUUGUUGAUUUGUGAGAGCAAAUAUGCCCACUGAAAUGAAGAGGAAUUUGUAAUGGAAAUGGGCAGCUUCUGAGCCAUGGACUGUAGAAGUUAUUUAUAAAUGUGAUGACCUGAACAAGAAGCCUUUCCUAGUGUGGUGUCAGAAAGCAAGUUCGGUGAGGUCAUUCACAUAUGGAACAACACAAGAGAGAAAAAUGCUGCAAGACUACACUCACUGCUCUCAGAACCUUAACCCAGUACCCAGAAUUGUGACGGACAACGUCUCCAGCAGAAAUCUUAAAAUUUCAGUGGGACUUCCUUGGCGCAUGGCACUACUCUACUAAUGAUUGCAAAGCUGGGUCCUAACCUGCUUGUUUUAAAACAGUUCUAGCAAAUUUACAUUUGGGGGCAAAUUCUUGUCACGAGAAGCCCAAUGGGAGCUUUGUGACUUCGUUUCUGUAUUAUACAACAGUUAAAUUUUCCUUAUGUUUUCUUGUACCUCAAAUAUGUAACUCCUAACUGGAAGGAACAUAUUUAUGUACAGAAAAAUGAUGUAUAUAAACCCACAAUGUUUAUUAUUUUGUGUUCACUAGUAACUCUAUGGCUCUGCAUUAAUAUCACUCUGUUGUUUUCUGAAAGAGCCAAAAGGCCAAUGGGAGUGAAAUACCAACCUGAGAAAGCAGUCUAGCAAGGAAAGCAAUGCUGUCACUGCAGAGGGACUUCUAGCAGAAGCAGUGACACUUGCAGUUACUGAGACUGUCAGUCCAAAUCCGUGUUGCUUUGGUACCCCGGAUAAAGAUCAGGCCAACUUAAGAGCUGGCGACAUGCCAUGCAGACAGAUGGACAGAUUGGGGAGCAACACAUAGACUGUGCAGGAGCAUCAAGUGUGGAUUCUGAAGGCAGCAUUCCCAACUGGAAGGUUCCAAAGAGCUGGCCAGCCUGAGUUUUAAAAACAGUUUCUGGUUUAGGAAAUGCCACAAUUUUGUUCUAGAAGACCUGACAUACUGAACAAAUCAGUAGGAAGGGGUAUUGUAAUGUUGGUAAAGUUGGCUUGAGCUGCGCAGAAAGGAGAAAUUGAAUAAGGGAUGUUCCCUCUGAGCCCCAGAAAGAGUGAAGAUGAGAACUGGUGAAAGAGUUUCCCCGUGUUUCUCUGCAGCAGGGCAAAACAGUCAUACACUGCUAAGCAGCGCAGCGGAGGAAUUGCCAAAGCUGCUCGUUAGAGAUGGGGAGGAGAAAUCUCACCUUGGAUUCGGAAGCUGGAAUGAAUCACAAACUCACACUUCAGCCUUCCUCUUCAGAGAGAAUCAGCAUCAGGGUAGGGACACUACGGGACGACUCCUUUCCUGGGACAAGGGUAGCAUUUACUAGACAGGAUAAAAUUGGACUUUUACUAUUAAGCUGGAAAACUGAAACCCAAAGGUGGAAAUCUGAUGCCAGUGCAUUUUGUUUUUGAAGAAAAUAGUUUAGAAGAAUCUAUGUGAAUUUAAAUAUUUAUCUUCAAGCAGUUUAUUUCCUAGCACACCAAACUUUAAAUGGUUAAAUUAAAUGAUUCAACUCUUAAGUAAAAACGGGGCUGCUAUAUAGGAAUUUGAAUGAUUGGUCCUCGUGUGCAUCAGCAUCCCUUUGAUACCCUUACAAUAUAUCACCCCUUCCAUUUGCAAAAUGGACAGGGUUUUCCUGGGCGGAUACUCUAUCUAGACUGUAAUAUAUUCUGUCUUCUAAUAAUCAGUCCAAACUGCAUUUCAAAUGCCACUUCUACUCCAUUUUCUGUAAUUCAUUCAUUACUUCUUUCAGAUUCCUGGGUUGCGCCAUGUAUUUUGCCGGUGUUGACGCCUAUUGGGCAGUCAGGUCUAGAGUCAUUCCGGGCUGCUCUUGUUUGUGUUACUCUUGUUGUGAACUCAGUUUAUAUUCAACCUGGGAAUAUGAGUCAUAAAAGGCCAACACACACACAAAAAGAGGAGACAAUAUCCAGUGCAGUCAAUAUCAUGUCCAGUCACAAACUGGGUUAGAAAGGGACAGGAUGAGUGAAGGGACCGAUAAAGGGCACAAGUUUCUAGUUUUUUGAACUGCUUUAGAUUUGCUAAAUCAGAAAACUAUUACAAAGUGAGAGCACCGGUUUAUUGCUGGGCUCAUCUCUUUGGGUGCACUGCGAUGAUAACAGAAGUCACACCAACAGACACCCCCAUUGUUGCUCUUUGCAGAAGAAAGGAGUAUAUUAUUUAUCUGAAACUUUUGUUCUCAUGCAUGCAUGUGACUAAUGUUGUGGGAUCUGAGUGGGGCUGCACAUGUGGCAAUUACAAAAUAACAUACUGGGAGUGUAUUUUGAUGUCAAAGAAAAACUUUAAAGCAGCACCUUUAAUGGAUACUAGUAUAUUACAUAACUUUUUAAAGUUCAUGGAAGAAGAAACACCUUUCCAUUAAUGCACUUGCCUAAGACCUUUGUUCUUCUAUCAGAGACAACCAGUUCCCAUUAAUUUGGCAUUGAGAUGGGCAUGCAGCUGCACUUUUUGGGCUUCUACAGAUUACAUUUACAAGCUUAGUAAUAAUUUUAUGCCUACAGUACAUGAAAUAAAAGAAAUACAUUAAGGGAACAUGAAGGGUAUGAGUAUGCCAGCAGAACAAUUGAAUUGUUUAUACUUUAGGGUGAAAUCCUAAUCUGAGGACUUCUAAUGGGAUGUAUAUCAAAACCAGCUGAUCCAUGAAGGCUUCUAGUGCCAUCUCAGGACAAGACUUUGGAACACUACUCCAUUUUCCACAGCCACUGUACUUCCCACAUGAAGGUAAUACCCACAAAGGCUAGAUGGUGGUUGUGUUAUAUUCAGGAGGGCUCUGAUUUGCACCAUCAGAGGCCCAAGACCACAACUGUCAGUGUAGACAUUAUCUCACUGUUGGCCCUAUCUUGGCUUGCAAAGGUCAAGCACAGAACGUUGUGCACCACCAGCGGAGCAAAUAAAACCAUUACCAUGACCCCAGCUCUAACUCAGUGAUGUUACAAAGGGGUGAUUCUGGAUUUAAAUCUGCAUCGGCAUUUUUAAGGUCACCGAUUCUCUCUAAAGAAACAAAACAACACACAGACUUGUGUGCACACAAACACACACACAUACAAUAAUUAAAAGAAUUAACAGGGGACUUAAGUUUGUGUUGCAAACCAAGGUUCUUGUUAAGUGGAAAUUUGCCAUAUGCUCUCCAACACUAGACACAAAGAAGAGCCAUUUUACUAACUUAAACCUCCUACAGUUUUGCUGAAGGAUUGGAAUGCCCAUUGCUGUCGAUUGGCUUGUUUCAUUUAGAGCACUAAUGUUUAUUUUGGAGACUGUAUAUCAAGGUGACUCGGAAUAAGUUGUUUUGGGAAACUUUUUCUCUCAGGCUGCUGAGCCCAUAGUUUGAAGAGAAAGUAACAAAUAAUAAAAUGCAGAGGUGCCAGUGGGCUUAUUGUUACAAAUACUUGGAGGUUUCUAUGUCUUCCUUCUUUUUUUUUUUUUUCUUUAACAGUCCAAUUAUGUACCACAUAGCAGCAACUGGGCUAACAACAGCCAUAUGAUGGAAUAGCUUGUAAUCCGGUUGUGGGUCUAGCUCCAUGAGACAGACUCCAAGUAGAUGAGUUUUAAAUCUCCUUAGAAUUAAGAAGGGUUUGGCAACCAAAUUAAUUGUUUUGGAAAAAUCCUGCUUUAUGGAUCAUGAAGAGGAUAAAAAGGGAAAAAACAUGUCAUCUGUAGUGGUUAGUCAGAUGUUCUUUUAGAGUUACAACGAUUUCCUCUCUAAUUCUUCUUGUUGACAUUCCCGUUAAAAGAAUAAUGAGUACUAGAUUCGUUGCCUUAGUGCUACUCAUCCCUGUGUACAUUACGAAAUCUUUGCAUUAAGCUACCCAAAUGGAUUGAAUGAUACUGUAAGGCAGACAUUACAAACAAUUGCACUCAACUGUAAGCAUGCAUAAAAGCAAAGUAUAAACUGAUAUGCUAAGAUACAAGUGAUAUUAAUCGCUGGUAACCUGUAUAGUAGUUUGUUUCAAAGAAGUAGUGGGGUCCAGACAACCGAGAGCAUGCAUCAAUCUGGUUUAGCAAGACUGAAUUAUUUUAGCCUUUGGAUUUUUAAUAUUUAUGUAGUUCCCCUUUUACCAGUGAGGUUGUGAUGCUUUGGAAAAAUAUGUUAUAUGUAUUAUUAAUGCCAUGUUUAAAUAAUGGGAGACAAUUAAACAAUCACUGGGUACUAGUUUCCCAGGUGUAUUUCUGGUUUAUGUAUUUUGCAGAUAUAUAAUGUAUUCUCACAAAGGCUACGUUACUUAAUUACCCAAUGCUUUUAAAGUAUUUUGGUAAAAAUAGGUGUGCAAAAAAAAGGUAUUAUUAUUUCACAGGUGGCAUAAAAGCAGCUUCAUUAAGGAGGCUGGUACUGAUAGUCCUUUCAUACAGAAAGCCAGGAGAUGGUUCUUCACAUGGUACAUUAAACAGUGAAAUAUGCCAAUUUUGACUUGAUUUCUAUGCUGCUAAACUACCCCACAUUCAUUUGCUUCAGCUUUAAGCCCUUCCAUUCUAGUAUUCUCUAGCCCCAGUUACAGAAUUGCAGCUUGCUUUUCACCUAUCUUCUAACAGUUUAACAUAGAUGUCUGGGUCCAGUCCAUUGUUCCAAUUGUAUAUAGUUUAAAAAGCUCUGCAGUAUUUUACUCUUUCCAUUAUAUCUUGGCUUCCCUGAGCGCUCUGCUCACUGCAUUUUGCUUGUACUGGCUCUGUUUUCUAAACCCAUUUAUGGCUUUUUUUCUGUACACACUUGUUCAUUGGGGAGCUUAAAUUGACUUCUCUCUAUUCUGUUUCCUUAACUAAAACCGCACCAUUAAGGUUGAUUGAAGUCUUUUGAAAACACUUCAUAAAAAAUGAAAGGCCAUAAGAAAUUAGGCUACCAGUGUUUGCAAAUACCUGUUUUCAGCCAAAUUGAUGGGAAGGAAUAAGAACUGAAAUUUAAAAAUG